rnacentral:rRNA from 1 species
UUAGGUGACUAUAGCGAUGGGGUACCACCUCUUCCCAUUCCGAACAGAGAAGUUAAGCCCAUCAGCGCCGAUGGUACUGCACUACAAUGCGGGAGAGUAGGUCGUCGCCGAUC